rnacentral:rRNA from 1 species
AACGAACGCUGGCGGCAUGCCUAACACAUGCGAGUCGAACGAGACCUUCGGGUCUAGUGGCGCACGGGUGCGUAACGCGUGGGAACCUGCCCUUAGGUUCGGAAUAACUCCCCGAAAGGGGUGCUAAUACCGGAUAAUGUCUUCGGACCAAAGAUUUAUCGCCUUUGGAUGGGCCCGCGUUGGAUUAGCUAGUUGGUAGGGUAAAAGCCUACCAAGGCGACGAUCCAUAGCUGGUCUGAGAGGAUGAUCAGCCACACUGGGGCUGGGACACGGCCCAGACUCCUACGGGAGGCAGCAGUGGGGAAUAUUGGACAAUGGGCGAAAGCCUGAUCCAGCAAUGCCGCGUAAGUGAUGAAGGCCUUAGGGUUGUAAAGCUCUUUUACCCGGGAUGAUAAUGACAGUACCGGGAGAAUAAGCUCCGGCUAACUCCGUG